UGCGGAGGGUGCGAGCGUUGUCCGGAAUCAUUGGGCGUAAAGGGCGCGUAGGUGGCGCGGUAAGCGUGCGGUGAAAGCCUGGGGCUCAACCCCGGGUCGGCCGUGCGAACUGCUGGGCUUGAGCACUGUAGAGGCAGGCGGAAUUCCGGGUGUAGCGGUGGAAUGCGUAGAGAUCCGGAAGAACACCGGUGGCGAAGGCGGCCUGCUGGGCAGUUGCUGACACUGAGGCGCGACAGCAUGGGGAGCAAACAGG
rnacentral:rRNA from 1 species